CAAAGGAUUAGGCAAAACUAAAUGGGUACGGCGGGUACGUCAAGCGAAAUCACGUGAAUUAGAUCCACUGGCAUUCAACGUCCAUCCAGCUAAGCUCGCGUAUUUUUUUAUUUUUUUUUUCAUCAAUAACGUUUAAUAACUAAGAAAGUUUUCGCCGUUUGAACUGCCCGAUAGGUACGGAUUUUCGAUUUUCGCAAAAAAAAAAAAUCGUUUAGGUUAGGUUAAAUGGGGCAUUGAUCGUCCAUUUGGCGGGGAUUCGG